rnacentral:misc_RNA from 1 species
GAUGAAGAACGCAGCGAAAUGCGAUAAGUAAUGUGAAUUGCAGAAUUCAGUGAAUCAUCGAAUCUUUGAACGCACAUCGCGCCCCUUGGUAUUCCGAGGGGCAUGCCUGUUCGAGCGUCAUUAUAACCCCUCAAGCUCAGCUUGGUGUUGGGGCCUGCUGCACUGGCAGCCCUUAAAAUCAGUGGCGGCGCCAUCUGGCUCUAAGCGUAGUAAUUCUUCUCGCUAUGGAGUCCUGGUGGAUGCUUGCCAUCAACCCCCAAUUUUUCUAUGGUUGACCUCGGAUCAGGUAGGGAUACCCGCUGAACUUAAGCAUAUCAAUAAGCGGAGGA